rnacentral:rRNA from 1 species
GUAAUAAAAAUUAUAAAAAAAAAGAGGACAACUAAGAUAAACUAAAAUUAGACGAUUUUUUUCGAAAUGGCGCUUAGUUGCUUUAUUGGCCGUUUCUCCAGAAAAGUGAUUUUUUAAUUUGAAUUGAAACAUCUUAUUACCAAGUAAAAAUCAAACGAGAUUCCGAGAGUGGCGGAGAGUGAAAUUGGAGCUGUGCUUGUGGUGGUCAUAGACCUUGCUUAAAUAUUAGUUUAUACUGAUAGUGAGAGUACUGUAAAGGAAAGUUGAAAGAGAGUUGAAAAGAGUUUGAAUUUUUUAUUUUUGAAGUAGCUUUUGAAAGGCGUACCUUUUGUAUAAUGGGUAAAAGAGAUUUAUUUGGCAUAUUUAAAGCGGAAAGUUUUAAGUAAUUUUUUUUUUAGUCAAAUUCCCCGAAACCAAGUGAUUUAAUCAUGAAUUGUGUUAGCAAAAACUGGUGAUUGUGGCAAAAAUCUCAGAAAAUUUGUGAUUAGGGGUGAAAGGCCAAUCGAACUUGGAAAUAGCUGGUUUUCUGCGAAAACUAUUUAAGUAGUGUUCUUUUUUUUUUAUUCUAAUUGUCAUUUUAAAAAAAACAAAAAUAAAAUAAAAGUAAACAAACAAUAAAUGAAAAGAUUUUUUGUUAAAAGAGAAAGCUCAAAUUAGAAGCUAUUGUCAUUUUUUUUUCUUUAGUUUAAAAAAAAAUUAAAUUUAGACAAUAAAAAUGUAGGCUUGGAACCAGCCAUCUUUUAAAAAGUACGUAGUUGUUUAUUUAAAAAUUUUAACUUUUUUUUAUAAUUUUGGUGGCUUAAAUAAAACAAAAGCUCUGAAAAUAAUUAUAUAUUUCGUAGCAGAAUAAAUUGUUUUCGAUCCUUGAGUUGAUUCCAAAAUCCCUUUUAGUUUGAAAUCGGAUCCAGUUGUAAUAAUUUUUACAUAAGUAAUCUAAAUAUUAUUUUUUUUUCUUAAUACUACCUCUAAGAGGAUAACACAGUUUCUAAAAAAGAAAUUUUUUAUGAAGAUUUUUUAUAAAAAUAUAUAAUAUCGGGAAAAGAAAAAAAAAGAACUGUUUUUCUAAUUAAAGAAAGAAAAAAAAAAAGAAAAACAUUUUUUUAAGGAAUUCGGCAAAGUUAAGCUUCGACUGUUUACCAAAAACAUAGCUUUUUGAUUUUUAUAAAAGGUGAAACCUGCCCGAUGGUUGUAUCUUAAUAUGUUUGUCCCGCCUACUAAUAAAGACAAUUAAAUGGCCGCGGUAACACUGACUGUGAUAAUGUAGCGCAAUCAAUUGUCAAUUAAUUGUUGACCGGUAUGAAUGGUAUCCCGAAAGUUUUUCUGUCUUAAAAAAAUAUUCAAUGAAAUUAAAUCUGUAGUGAAGAUGCUACAUUUUAAUUGUUAGACGAGAAGUCCCCAUGGAGCUUUACUGUAAGCUUAUAUAUAUAAAUUUUCUCUUUUAUAAGCAAGACAGUUUUGUUGGGGCGACAGUUUUUUAAAAAGUAACGAAAAUGAACUAUGACGCAUGUUUAACUUUGAAAUUUUUUUAUUGAUGAGACAUUUUUGGUGUGUUUUUUGAUCCGUUAUUUUGAGUGAAAAAAAUAACGAAAACAAAUAAAAGUUACCCUGGGGAUAACAGCGCAAUAACGUUUGAGAGUUAAUUAACGACAGUGUUUGCGACCUCGAUGUUGAAUUGUAACGUCCUACGGUGUAGUCACUCGUAAGGGUUGGUUUGUUCAUCCAUUACAGUUAUACAUGAUUUGAGUUAAAAGCGUGGUGACACAGCUUGGUUUCUAUCUACAAUUAGAAAACAAAAAUAUGUUGUUUUUUCGUACGAAAGGAUCAAAAAUCAAUAGUUCUCUUAAUACAACUAUUCUUUAAAUUAGGAUUGCUUCUAAAAAUAAAAAGAAAUAUUUUUGUUUGUUGGCCAUCUACGAUUAGAACAUAAAAUUUUAUUA